GGGUCAGUAGGUUGGUCGUGCCACCGGUACGUACUGGUCUCACUGAUUCCUCCUUCCUGAAGAACCGUAAUGCCAUUAAUUUGGUGUUGCGGGGAAACAGGACUGUUACUUUGAAAAAAUUAGAGUGUUUAAAGCAAGCUAGCGCUUGAAUACAUUAGCAUGGAAUAAUGAAAUAGGACGAUCGAUCCUAUUUUGUUGGUUUCUAGGAUUGACGCA
rnacentral:rRNA from 1 species